CGCAAGUUUGAAACUCAAAGGAAUUGACGGGGGCCCGCACAAGCGGUGGAGCAUGUGGUUUAAUUCGAUGAUACGCGAGGAACCUUACCAGGGCUUAAAUGUAGAGUGACAGGACUGGAAACAGUUUUUUCUUCGGACACUUUACAAGGUGCUGCAUGGUUGUCGUCAGCUCGUGCCGUGAGGUGUCAGGUUAAGUCCUAUAACGAGCGCAACCCCUGUUGUUAGUUGCCAGCGAGUCAAGUCGGGAACUCUAACAAGACUGCCGGUGCAAACCGUGAGGAAGGUGGGGAUGACGUCAAAUCAUCACGGCCCUUACGUCCUGGGCUACACACGUGCUACAAUGGCCGGUACAGAGAGCAGCCACUGGGCGACCAGGAGCGAAUCUAUAAAGCCGGUCACAGUUCGGAUUGGAGUCUGCAACCCGACUCCAUGAAGCUGGAAUCGCUAGUAAUCGCAUAUCAGCCAUGAUGCGGUGAAUACGUUCCCGGGCCUUGUACACACCGCCCGUCAAGCCAUGGAAGCCGGGGGUACCUGAAGUCGGUGACCGCAAGGAGCUGCCUAGGGUAAAACUGGUAACUGGGGCUAAGUCGUAACAAGGUAA
rnacentral:rRNA from 1 species